AUUGAACGCUGGCGGCAGGCCUAACACAUGCAAGUCGAGCGGAUGACGGGAGCUUGCUCCUUGAUUCAGCGGCGGACGGGUGAGUAAUGCCUAGGAAUCUGCCUGGUAGUGGGGGACAACGUUUCGAAAGGAACGCUAAUACCGCAUACGUCCUACGAGAGAAAGCAGGGGACCUUCGGGCCUUGCGCUAUCAGAUGAGCCUAGGUCGGAUUAGCUAGUUGGUGAGGUAAAGGCUCACCAAGGCGACGAUCCGUAACUGGUCUGAGAGGAUGAUCAGUCACACUGGAACUGAGACACGGUCCAGACUCCUACGGGAGGCAGCAGUGGGGAAUAUUGGACAAUGGGCGAAAGCCUGAUCCAGCCAUGCCGCGUGUGUGAAGAAGGUCUUCGGAUUGUAAAGCACUUUAAGUUGGGAGGAAGGGCAGUAAGCUAAUACCUUGCUGUUUUGACGUUACCGACAGAAUAAGCACCGGCUAACUCUGUGCCAGCCGCCGCAGUAAGAC
rnacentral:rRNA from 1 species